UUCUAUGGCCAUACCACCCUGAACGCGUCCGAUCUCAUCUGAUCUUGGAAGCUAAGCAGGUUGGGCUUGGUUAGUACUUGGAAGGAAGAAAUAAUGCUGAUAAC
ensembl:rRNA 5S_rRNA 5S ribosomal RNA